rnacentral:rRNA from 1 species
GCGUGAGUGAAGAAGGUCUUCGGAUUGUAAAGCUCUUUUGGCGGGGACGAUGAUGACGGUACCCGCAGAAUAAGCCCCGGCUAACUUCGUGCCAGCAGCCGCGGUAAUACGAAGGGGGCUAGCGUUGCUCGGAAUGACUGGGCGUAAAGGGCGCGUAGGCGGAUUGUACAGUCAGACGUGAAAUUCCUGGGCUCAACCUGGGGGCUGCGUUUGAUACGUAUAGUCUUGAGUGAGGAAGAGGGUCGUGGAAUUCCCAGUGUAGAGGUGAAAUUCGU